AUUGAACGCUGGCGGCAGGCCUAACACAUGCAAGUCGAGCGGAUGAAGGGAGCUUGCUCCUGGAUUCAGCGUCGGACGGGUGAGUAAUGCCUAUGAAUCUGCCUGGUAGUGGGGGAUAACGUCCGGAAACGGGCGCUAAUACCGCAUACGUCCUGAGGGAGAAAGUGGGGGAUCUUCGGACCUCACGCUAUCAGAUGAGCCUAGGUCGGAUUAGCUAGUUGGUGGGGUAAAGGCCUACCAAGGCGACGAUCCGUAACUGGUCUGAGAGGAUGAUCAGUCACACUGGAACUGAGACACGGUCCAGACUCCUACGGGAGGCAGCAGUGGGGAAUAUUGGACAAUGGGCGAAAGCCUGAUCCAGCCAUGCCGAGUGUGUGAAGAAGGUCUUCGGAUUGUAAAGCACUUUAAGUGGGGAGGAAGGGCAGUAAGUUAAUACCUUGCUGUUUUGACGUUACCAACAGAAUAAGCACCGGCUAACUUCGUG
rnacentral:rRNA from 1 species